rnacentral:rRNA from 1 species
GCGCGCGAGGAUCGGGUCACCUCCCAUUAGGUAGUUGGUGCGGUAACGGCGCACCAAGCCUGCGAUGGGUAGCUGGACUGAGAGGUUGGCCAGCCACACUGGGACUGAGAUACGGCCCAG